rnacentral:rRNA from 1 species
ACCUCCCACCCGUGUUUACUGUACCUUAGUUGCUUCGGCGGGCCCGCCAUUCAUGGCCGCCGGGGGCUCUCAGCCCCGGGCCCGCGCCCGCCGGAGACACCACGAACUCUGUCUGAUCUAGUGAAGUCUGAGUUGAUUGUAUCGCAAUCAGUUAAAACUUUCAACAAUGGAUCUCUUGGUUCCGGCAUCGAUGAAGAACGCAGCGAAAUGCGAUAACUAGUGUGAAUUGCAGAAUUCCGUGAAUCAUCGAGUCUUUGAACGCACAUUGCGCCCCCUGGUAUUCCGGGGGGCAUGCCUGUCCGAGCGUCAUUGCUGCCCAUCAAGCACGGCUUGUGUGUUGGGUCGUCGUCCCCUCUCCGGGGGGGACGGGCCCCAAAGGCAGCGGCGGCACCGCGUCCGAUCCUCGAGCGUAUGGGGCUUUGUCACCCGCUCUGUAGGCCCGGCCGGCGCUUGCCGAACGCAAAUCAAUCUUUUUCCAGGUUGACCUCGGAUCAGGUAGGGAUACCCGCUGAACUUAAGCAUAU